UGCGUAGGCGGAAUAUUAAGUCAGUGGUGAAAUCCUGCAGCUCAACUGUAGAACUGCCAUUGAUACUGAUAUUCUUGAAUGUAGUUGAGGUAGGCGGAAUGUGUAAUGUAGCGGUGAAAUGCUUAGAUAUUACACAGAACACCGAUUGCGAAGGCAGCUUACUAAACUAUGAUUGACGCUGAGGCACGAAAGCGUGGGGAGCGAGCAGGAUUAGAUACCCUGGUAGUCC
rnacentral:rRNA from 1 species